rnacentral:rRNA from 1 species
GAUUUCUGGCUUGAAACAUUUAGCCGGCCACGGUUUCGUGUGUUAGUGUUAGAUGUUCUGGCCAUCCUUCCAAUUGCUAUUCAUCUUUCUUCAUUGAUGGGUGAGUGGUAUUGGAUCUUUUACUUUGAAAAAAUUAGAGUGUUUCAAGCAGGCUUAAUGCUAUGAAUACAUUAGCAUGGAAUAAUAAUUUAGGACUUCGGUUCUAUUUUGUUGGUUUCUAGGACUGAAGUAAUGAUUGAUAGGGUCAGUUGGGGGUGCUAGUAUUCAGCGGCCAGAGGUGAAAUUCUCGGAUUCGCUGAAGACUAACUUAUGCGAAAGCAUU